UACUGAUCCAGCCACAUCAGCCUUUUGUGAGGUCUGACUAAAAAUGAACUGCAGGUUCCUGAGAAGGUGGACUGUGAGCACAGAAACACAUGUUCAUACAUACAGCUGCAGCAAGCUUACAUUAAUUUUAAAUAGAUUUGUUACUCUGAUGUCUGUCUCUCUGUUAGUCCUCUGACAGACUGGUGACCUGUCCAGGUGUGCUCUACCUAUGACUACUGGGACAGGCUCUGGCUCCUGUAAUAGAAAUUUUCUAUUAUUCUCAUUUAAAGUAUUUAAGUGCUUAUGCAUAUGCUUAGUUGUGACACUGUUAUAGACUGUUCAGUGAAAGUUUCUAAAACUAGAUGAACUUACUUCAACAUCAGGAGUUUGAGAAAACAACUCCCUUUACAGGUGCUGAUAAGGCCAAGGGCACAAAACAGCAUAACCAUUGAUCCGUUAGGUUUCGUAGUGAGGCGCGUGAAGUGUGGUAUGAUCAGUUUGUAACUUCCUCCCUUUUCCUUGGAAUGCAUAAAGGAGUAGGAGCACCACUUCUGUGGCAGAGCUGGCAUGACUGUGAACUGUGACGUUUGAUGUGUGUUGGCUCUCCUGCGUGCAGUAAUAAAUGGCUUGAUCACAGCUCUUUCUGUGUUGCAGACUUUAUUUACAAAAUUCCACGAUACCCCCUACCCUCCCACUGUGAACCUGAAUUGAAUAUUCAGAAGAAAAUGAAUGGAUAGACUGACAUUUGUUUAAAUACUUCUAGAAAUCUGAGCUGUUGGUAUGGCAAUAAUAUUAGAGCUGGCAAUCUUUCCUACUGAAUCUCUACUGUGAGUCAUGCUACCUGAAAUUAAUUCUAUGUUUACCUGACAGCCUGGACACAUGUGCUGCGUAAAGGAUGUAAAUCAAAUCAGAUCUUAACUGCUUACAGUUAAGGAGUCGGGUCAUAUUUAAUUAUAAUAUGAACCAAUGAUUUUCUGAUUGCUGAUUCCAAGAGAGUCUUUGUGGAAAUCCUGUUUGGCUUUUUGUCAUUUUAAUUCUCUUUUCUGUUUUCCAGAACAGUUCUCCACAGUCGCUGUCCACAUGGGUCAGUGGGACCAAGAAGCACUCUGCUAAUGUGUGGACUCUGACCAGCAACAUCCAGCAAGACCCAGACACCGUUUUCUAUCUCCCAGCUGGAGUUUUUUGUUUGUGACUGGAGAGUCAGAUUUUUGUUGAAGCUGGAGGAACAGCCUCACACUUGCAGAGGUAAGUCAGUUUGUAGAGAUUCCUCCCACCCUGGCUUUUAUGUGCUAGAUUUCUUAUCUGAAACAGUAACACUUCAGUGACUGUUGCCUAUACCACACGCUACUGAUCCCUGAUGGGAGAAUCAUCACCUCUGGCAACAAAGAAGCCUGCUGGAUAUUUGUUUACAGUCUGAUUAUGGGACAUCAUGCUCUGUAUCUUCAAAGUUUGUCUCUUGAUUAUUAUUCAUACACAGUAAUGUGAAGCAUGCUUAUAUCUAGUAUAACUGGACCAACCUGGUGCUCUUCAUUUAUGGAGGCUGUUGAGUCUGAAUGUUGGAUGUUGUGUAUCUCGUGUUCUCUGGGCUUUGCUGUCCUCAGUCUUUUUGCAGGAUCAGAAAACAAAACUAGGAGACCUGUAAAUGUUUCUUCCUCAACUGGAUGAUGAUAAGACUGUGACACAGGAUGCCACCUUUAGUCUUGUGAUGAAGCAAAGCUCAGGAAGAAGUGCGAUUAAAUGGUACCCACAUGUGUGCUGCUGAGAAGGAUGUACAGGGGCACCUGCAGCCAAAUCCAAGCCUCCUCAGGAGUGUUUCUGAGUGAGGGAGAGAGGAGUCAUCAUCCAGGUAAAGUGACGUGGAUCAGUUGUCUCCCCUUUACAGGAGACGAUCCGAGUCAUCCUUAAAUAUGGGCAGGAUAUCAGUCUUGGACUGUCUGACCUGCAGCACUGAAUGAUCACCACACAUGAGCAUGUUCCUGCAACAUUCAGCAGCUUUGCUUUUGUGUCAAAUGUCAAACAGCUGGAGAGGAAACUACACCAGUACUGGGUUGUUUAACCAACACGUGCCAGAUGCUGUUUCUUCAUGGUUUCAUCGCCAGAGACAGCCCCGCCCACCUCAGGACCUCGCCAUUGAUCAUGAUGAUUAUAAUGAUGACAGCGAGUAGAACUAAGACUGUAAAAAUCCACGACCAGAAUGUUUACAUGCUUUCUAAUUAUUAAUGAAUACUGAGAGCCUCUUUCUGUGUUUUGUCUGUUUUGGGGUUUUUUUUUUUUACCUCAUUUGUUACUAACAAAGUUCACCAAACUCACACAGUUUACAUUCUGUAUGUUUCCAUCUUUACCAGCCACACUCUAACUGCAUUUAAGAAAAUAAUCCUUAGAAAUCAUUGUUUUUCUCUUUUGUAAUUGAUGAUAAUUCAGUGAAUAUACUGCGCUGCUUCCUUUUAUUGCAUCGCACAUUGCUUUAAGUUUUUCAGUGUUCAGUUAUUUUUUACUGCUGUUUGAAUUCACUGUAUGUUUGACCCUGUAGACUGUUUAAUGGACUGCUUGUCUUCCUGUUUGUAACCACUGCCUGUUUUUGACUAAAGAUUUGGAUUUCUGACUUUAACACA